rnacentral:lncRNA from 1 species
CUGUCGCCCGGGACUCUGAGCCAGAGCGCAGCGGCGAGCGUGACUCCGCCAUCAGGUCCCCGGCUCCCUCCCCGGACCUAGCCCACUCCGCUGCGCCAGCGCCGCGGGCAGUGAGUUCGGGGAUCAGGGGAACCCGGGGCUCCCUCGCACCAACCCCAAAUCCUGCCCUCCUGGCGAUGAGGCUUUUCUAGGGCACCUCUACAAUCCGGGUUUGAGGGAGGAGGAGGAAAGGACUGAGGGAUCCCCUCAUCGCCAGCUGGGAGCGGGCUGGGAGGCCGCAGGGAGGGCCUGAAAAAGGAGACGGGAUUGCCACGAGGUUGGGGGCGCGGGGUGGUAGCGGCUUUGAGCGGGUGAGAAAAGCUCAGGUGGGGCCCGCCGGGCCGAAGGAGGUAACCCGGCGCCCGGCCCUAGCCAGCCCCGGGGCUCGGGGCUGGGGAGAUCAUGGCCCGCCUCUUCAGCCCCCGGCCGCCCCCCAGCGAAGACCUCUUCUACGAGACCUACUACAGCCUGAGCCAGCAGUACCCGCUGCUGCUGCUGCUGCUGGGGAUCGUGCUCUGUGCGCUCGCGGCGCUGCUCGCAGUGGCCUGGGCCAGCGGCAGGGAGCUGACCUCAGACCCGAGCUUCCUGACCACUGUGCUGUGCGCGCUGGGCGGCUUCUCGCUGCUGCUGGGCCUCGCUUCCCGGGAGCAGCGACUGCAGCGCUGGACGCGUCCCCUGUCCGGCUUGGUAUGGGUCGCGCUGCUAGCGCUAGGCCACGCCUUCCUGUUCACCGGGGGCGUGGUGAGCGCCUGGGACCAGGUGAGAGGGGCGGCAGGCGGGGCAGCGGGGACGGCCCGGGCUUCGAUCCCUCACCAGGCCUUGAAUAGCCCCACUUGGGCCUUCGGCUUCCCGCGCCCCGCCCCCAGGUGUCCUAUUUUCUCUUCGUCAUCUUCACGGCGUAUGCCAUGCUGCCCUUGGGCAUGCGGGACGCCGCCGUCGCGGGCCUCGCCUCCUCACUCUCGCAUCUGCUGGUCCUCGGGCUGUAUCUUGGGCCACAGCCGGACUCACGGCCUGCACUGCUGCCGCAGGUGAGCACGCAAGUAGCACAGGCUGCGCUCAGGACGGCUCUGCCACGUGCUAGUAGGCUCCUUUUAGGGGGUUGUUGAGCUGUGACUCCAAGUCAAGGUGCAACGCUGGGCGCAGGAUACCCAACCGUGCUUUCGCAGAGCUGGUACAACAGUGUGAUGCAAUGCCUGCUGUUACCAGAAGAGGGAUCCAGGCCACACGGAAGGGAGUCGUGUCGUGGUUUACCCCGGGGACAACAGAUGUGGUUAAUGAAACCUUGACAGAGAAUGAAAAAAAAAAAAAAAAA